GACGAACGCUGGCGGCGCGCUUAAUACAUGCAAGUCGAGCGAGGUUACUGCGACAGAUCCCUUCGGGGUGAAGUUGCUUUAACCUAGUGGCGGACGGGCGAGUAACGCGUGAGCAACCUGCCCUUCAGAGGGGGAUAACGGCUGGAAACGGCCGCUAAUACCGCAUGACAUAUACACAAGGCAUCUUGAGUAUAUCAAAGGAGGAAUCCGCUGAAGGAUGGGCUCGCGUCCGAUUAGCUGAUUGGUGAGGUAACGGCUCACCAAGGCGACGAUCGGUAGCCGAACUGAGAGGUUGAUCGGCCGCAUUGGGACUGAGACACGGCCCAGACUCCUACGGGAGGCAGCAGUGGGGGAUAUUGCACAAUGGAGGAAACUCUGAUGCAGCGACGCCGCGUGGGGGAAGAAGGUCUUCGGAUUGUAAACCUCAGUAGUCAGGGAAGAAGCAAGUGACGGUACCUGAAGAGUAAGCUCCGGCUAACUACGUGCCAGCAGCCCGCGGUAAUACGUANGGAGCGAGCGUUGUCCCGGAAUUACUGGGUGUAAAGGGUGCGUAAGCCGGGUCAGCAAGUCAGGCGUGAA
rnacentral:rRNA from 1 species